GAAAGCUGACGGUCCACAUCCCCAGCACGAACUAGCAGUGAGCCCGCGCGUUUGUUUCAGCUGCUGGGGACGAGGGGUAACAGCCGAGAACAUACGGGCCUUUUGGAAUGCAGAUAUUCCCCGCCAUACACCGAUCCAGUUCCAACAGGCUUGCGGCAGUAUUUCUUACCACACUGUCUCACUGCCCUUCAUUAUUGUUCCAGCAGUCAUAGAAGGUGGUUGUGCUGUACAAGUUUAUAUUUCGAGGUGAAAGAUGCCUCGUACUUGUGUGAAUAGAGCAGACAGCUGCUACAUUUGUGGUGAGAUGACCUUUGCAUCACAGAAGCGCCAUAUAACUGCUAUGGUUAGAAAACCUGGGAUGAAAAAUGUUCAACAUUCACCUCUCAAUGAACCAAACAAAAUUUGGCUACCACCACUACACAAAACUGUUUAAAACAUACCGAUUAUGUUAUAAUAAAAUAAUGAAAUAUUACAAGUCUCGUAUCUUUAAACCUAUAGC